AAUCAACGCUGGCGGCGCGCCUAACACAUGCAAGUCGAACGAGAAAGGGGAGCAAUCCCUGAGUACAGUGGCGUACGGGUGAGUAACACGUGGAUGAUCUACCCUCUAGUGGGGAAUAACUAUGGGAAACCGUAGCUAAUACCGCAUAAGCUCGAGAGAGGAAAGCAGCAAUGCGCUGGAGGAGGAGUCCGCGGCCGAUUAGCUAGUUGGCAGGGUAAAAGCCUACCAAGGCAGAGAUCGGUAGCCGGCCUGAGAGGGCACACGGCCACACUGGCAC
rnacentral:rRNA from 1 species